rnacentral:rRNA from 1 species
ACACGAGCGGCGAACGGGUGAGUAACACGUGGGUGAUCUGCCCUGCACUCUGGGAUAAGCUUGGGAAACUGGGUCUAAUACCGGAUAUGACUGCAUGCCGCAUGGUGUGUGGUGGAAAGAUUUAUCGGUGCAGGAUGGGCCCGCGGCCUAUCAGCUUGUUGGUGGGGUAAUGGCCUACCAAGGCGACGACGGGUAGCCGACCUGAGAGGGUGACCGGCCACACUGGGACUGAGACACGGCCCAGACUCCUACGGGAGGCAGCAGUGGGGAAUAUUGCACAAUGGGCGGAAGCCUGAUGCAGCGACGCCGCGUGAGGGAUGAAGGCCUUCGGGUUGUAAACCUCUUUCAGCAGGGACGAAGCGUGAGUGACGGUACCUGCAGAAGAAGCACCGGCUAACUACGUGCCAGCAGCCGCGGUAAUACGUAGGGUGCGAGCGUUGUCCGGAAUUACUGGGCGUAAAGAGUUCGUAGGCGGUUUGUCGCGUCGUUUGUGAAAACCCGGGGCUCAACUUCGGGCUUGCAGGCGAUACGGGCAGACUUGAGUGUUUCAGGGGAGACUGGAAUUCCUGGUGUAGCGGUGAAAUGCGCAGAUAUCAGGAGGAACACCGGUGGCGAAGGCGGGUCUCUGGGAAACAACUGACGCUGAGGAACGAAAGCGUGGGUAGCAAACAG